rnacentral:tRNA from 1 species
GGUCUGGUGGUGUAGUUGGUUAUCACGUCAGUCUAACAGUCCGAAUCCUCUGAAGAGUGGCUCGCCUGGUAUCACUGAAGGUCUCCGGUUCAAGUCCGGGCUAGAUCA